UUAUUCCAACAGCAACCCCAAGCUUAGAAUCGAACACUAAUCCAAGAAUAAAACACAAUAACUCUGAACAAGGUGGGGAAGUGUUUGGUCCAUGGGAUAAUAAUGCGGUAUUUUCACAGCGUGUGUUAAUAAAGGAUAAACACAAUACAUGGGAUGGCUAGAAAGGCUCAAGGUUAAAAUAAACAGUGUGCCUCAGUGUUUGUAAUCAUGCAAUGGAUAUCAGAAAAGAAUGAACGCAAGUUCUAGAUG
rnacentral:lncRNA from 1 species